GUUAGGGAAGGGCCUUAGCUCACUGGUAGAGCUUCUGCUUUGCACGCAUGAAGUCCAAGGUUCAAUUCUUGAAUCCCUGACA